CAGGUGUCUGGGCCAAGGGCCUGCCGGCUGUCCCUCCCCAGCCAAGAGCAAUAGCAGGGAAGGCCAGCAAGGAGCAGCAGAUGCUGCAAGGAGUGCAAAGUUCUGGAGUGUGACAGAGCCUUGGCAGCAGUGGCUGGCGCUUGUUUUCCCUCACUUUUGGUGGAAAAGUGUGUCAAUGGAUGUCAAGGUAAAUUCUUCUCUUUCUCCCUUUCUUCCCUUCCCCCUCACCUCCCUCUCUCAAGGCUGUCUUUGUGUCAUCUCUUCAAAGUACACUACCUGUAAAAUAUUGAUUCACAGCAGGCUGAGCUGGCAGGUUUAGAUUUCUUUUUCACUGGCAGCAAUAAUAAACUACUACAGACAGUGCA
rnacentral:lncRNA from 1 species